rnacentral:lncRNA from 1 species
AGCAAUGCCUACCCAGUAAGUGAUCUACAGAUCAAAUAGAGGAUUUAUCUGUCGACGGCUGAACUGAAUCCUCCAUAUUCAUAGCUUUCUAUACAAAAAGCAUCUUCAGAAAAGCACCCAUAGCUAUCUCAAGGAAAAUGACAGUUGAAGUGUAUUCAUUUGCACAAAGUGUGAAUUCAGUCCGAAAAUGCUAAGCAAAGGGAAAGCCACAUUAAUGACAACAACUGCUGAAGCUCAGGAGCCAAUACUUGGCCACACACGCCUUUUCUCUUUUUAAAUGACUUUUCAAAAGUCUCUUCCAUCGAAGUUGCCAUGGCUGCCCAUUGGUUUGAGUCCCUAGGCUUUUGACUUUGUAAAUUGAAUUAAAAAGUUCAUCCCGGCCUAUGAAAAUAUCGUAUAGGAGUCUACCUCAUCACGAUGUACAGCUCAUAUCUUGCAGUCUUCAUAAUCUUUUUGGUAUAUCCAUCCUUCAUCUCUCUCUGUCCCAGCACUAGUAAAUGCUCAGCUCUAAUGCAAAUACAGCCAUAAGGUAUUUAACAUGUUACUCAAACUUCAAGACUAAACUUAAACAUCCCCCAAUGUUUAUUUCCUCCAAGAAUUUAAUCAGCUUGUGCACUUCUAGCCCUCCCAAUGCAACUUGAAAAGUUUGGGGUUUUUUUGCUUUGCUUUAUUUUUAAAGAGCAAACUUGCAUUGUUCCCAAGUAAUAGCCCAGGCCCUGCUCCUUGUCAGGGCAAGUGACCUCAUUGAAUUCAGUAGCACUGAGGCCUUAAGAAAAGGUAUAUUUUCACAUUUAAAUUUUCUUAUACUGUUUAAACAACAGCAUUUUAUCCUUGUUUAUUUAAACUGAUCUAAAAUUUUUAAGGAGAAUUCACUAAGACACACACUAGAAACGUACCUAUAAAAUUAGGACCAGCAGAUGGACAUUUGCACCCCCAAAUUGGGUAAUUACAUGGCUAAAUUGCCAUUUGCACAUGCUAUUACCUAAUUCGUUUCACACAUGGACAGAACCUGCAUUCCUUAUGGGCUGCAAGUACAGAGGGCUCAUACGGCCAGAAGCACCGGGAGGAUCUCGAGCACAAGGUUUGGGCAGAGUUCGCAACAGAUGUAUUGGAAAGCUGAGAAACGAUCAACCUCGCGCAGCGACAGCCUUUGGGAAUACAUCUUCCAGGACUGACUCGCGCGGUCAGCAGUUCAGACCCAAGAAAACAGCAGGGAGAUCUUCCAACGUCUACAGCCAUCAGGAAGCGACCGGGUUUUCCAGAGCGCGCAGCUGCUCCCGAAAUCCUGUCUCUUCAGCCUUGAGCUCCUUUUCAGCUAUUUUGAAUAUCCCGUUUCAUUCAGUGCUGCCUAAAACUGGACUUCACAGAGGGGAGGAGGGGGAAGAGGAGGAAAGAGGAAUGUUAUUUGUUUAACUUUGUGGCCAUCUUUGUUGCCUGUAGGUUUUCACAUCGAGCCGGCCUGGCAGUGCCCAGGAAACAGGGCAUUCUUCAUAAUUCUGCUUCAGUGAAAACAUACUGUCCUGCAGUUAGCAGGAAAAAGGGAAAAAGAGCCUGAAGGCGCUGGAAUAAUUAAGCGAAUGCAGUGACAGCUGUGGCAGGUCCUGGGCAGGACUGGCUCCACUGAGCUGAAUUAAUGGCAUCAACAGCCCAGCAUCUCCAUUAACAUUUGAUCAUUAAUUAUUACCCUCUGACAGUAAGAUCUGAAACCUUCUUAUGAGUGGCCUGUUAUUAAUCUACCUUACCUGCCCUGCAAAUCAGACAGGCUCCCCACCUAAACAGAGAAUCUUCAAGUCAUUUUUCCUCCCUUAAAAACAAAAAGCACCACCACCAAACCACCUCAGCAAUUGCUUUUAGGAUUAGUUUAGUAAAUAAUACACACAGAACUACUUUUAAAUUAAUUGGGUGCAUUCUUAAAGCAUCAGCAACAUUCCUAGAAUAUUCUUAUGUUGACUUAAGCAUAAUGGUUACCUAGUAUAUGUUACUAGCUGUUUGCACUUAAUGUUCACAGAGGAAAAAAACAUGAGCGCUGCUCUUGAGCUAUUUGUCAUAACCAAAUGAAGGACUCAAUUUUUUUUAAAACUCUGCACAGCUGAGAACAUCUACUAAAUAUGGUAACCGAUUUAUCAAACUAAAUUCAGAAAUCUGCUAUCAUCUCAAUACCUAUCACAAAAGCUAAACAACAUCCUGCACCUUUAGAUCAAAGAGGCAAAUAAGGAUUAAAAAAAACCUAGGCUUUUUUAAAAAAAGGAAAACAAUAGUGAAGGCCUAAUUAUAUCACUAAAUUUGCAUUUAGCAACCUUUGCACAGCCAUUUGGCUCACCGUCUUGUUAAAGAGGAGUUGCAGCACAUUAACCUUUUUUUUUUUUUUAAACUAUUCCUACAAUCAGCAGUGAGGAGCAAAAAGGAGAACCUAAUUCUCUGCUGGCUGCUGUGAAUCAGAAGAAACUAUUCCCCAGUUAGAGGAGAAUCAGGCUCACUCCAUCUUUGUGCAGAGUCCGUGGACCUUCCUUCCACCACUCCACCUGCCUCAUUCUCCACUCUGCUUUUGCUCGCUGAUGCUGUUGCAAGCAUUGACCAGAAACAAAACCCAAUUAGUUGCCUAUUUGAUCUUUUCUCAGAGGCACAGGACAAUGCAAAAAUCCCAGUGUCAGGUGUCCUGCAGCAUGGUGGUUUUUCUGAUAAGACCCAGAUAGACAUGAGCAACUAAGACCUCUCCAGUUAUUGGGAGGGGGAGGGAGAGAAAGAGGAAGAGCUUACAGGUGGCAGGGAACUGCUGAGUCUGCUUCUCUCCUGGGCCCUAUCUGCUCAGCCCUGAAUGAUGAGACAGGGCCAUCUGGACCCAGGACUCAGUUAUGCCCCGGCCAGAGAGGAGCACAGUCAAGCACAGUCCCCAGAGCACAGCAGAAGAGUCAACCACCUAACAGAGGGACUAAAUCACCACGCAUGAACGACACUAAUGGUCUCUGUUGCAAUGAUUUCUUUUAGAAGACAGGAUUUAGGACAAAAACCAAAAGUAGUCUUGAAAUUUCUCUGCAGUGCCCCAAGAAAAGGGAGGAGAUUAAGAGUUUUCUACAUAUUAAGAUACCAUCUCCUCUUCAGAGACAUAGUUGCUUGUAUUGUUUCAGAGCUAACAUAAUAGGAUAUAUAUUUUCAAAGAGGGCUGUGUUUCAGACCAGAUGGUUUCUGUCUUCUAGUAGAGAAACAACAACUACACAGUUGCAGCAGUGUUCAGCACUGAGUCAAUGGCACCCACAUUUUCAGGGCAGACGAGAGUGUGAUUUGUGGGAAUCUUAGUAUAAUUUAAAAGGGCUUUUCAAUAAUUUAGUAUCACAGUUUGCUGUGAAGCUGGCUAUCAUGUACCAUCUCAAGUAAGCCUAUUCUGGUUUUGCAUACAAAUGUAUCUGUUAAUACAACACUGGCAGGAUAUGCCCAGAUUAGGCAGAUAAUGGUCACUGUGGCUAUCCCACAGUUCUGAAUUUUCAGGAACCGAAAAGCCCGUUCGCCAACAUUUUACAAUUCAACAGUACCUUUCAAACAAAUAGCUCAGAGUUAGGAUAUGCUUCAGAAAGUGUUCCUUUCUGUAGGCCGGGAAACGCAUAUGUGAAGAUUAAGGCCAAGGGUUUUCUUUAAUAUAGAUGCCUGAUCCUAGAUAUCUACAAUCUAAUUUUCAGAAACGAUGAAUUCUGCUUUCUGCCAUCCACUUCAACUAGAAACAUAGCACGUACAGCACUUCUGUUGAAGCUGAAGCUAUUUCCUUUGUGCCUCACUCUGCAGGUGCUCAAAGCUGCAGACACCUUUGAGAGCACUGACCUCAAAGACUUGCCGUAAGACAAAAACACGACAAACAGUAGCAACAGAACCACCAUUUCUCCAUCUCACAGAAAGCCUCUUCUAACCAGCAGACACCAGCCCACCAAUAUCCCUACACACGUGGCGUGAACAAAGGAAUUGAGGUUAGAUUAUAGCAAAAUAUGGAUAAAAACAUCAUUGCAUAAACAUGAAUUAUCUUGUCACACAAGUUUCUAUGGAUUCCUGCAACUAUAUAGGGAGUUUUACCACUUUCAAACCUUACAGGUAUUUGAGGAUUUAAAACAAAUAAAUAAAUAAGAGAGGCCA